UACGGGGGGAGCAAGCGUUGUUCGGAUUUACUGGGCGUAAAGGGCGCGUAGGCGGUCGUGACAAGUCACUUGUGAAAUCUCCGGGCUUAACUCGGAACGGUCAAGUGAUACUGUCGGACUAGAGUACAGAAGGGGCAACUGGAAUUCUCGGUGUAGCGGUGAAAUGCGUAGAUAUCGAGAGGAACACCUGCGGCGAAGGCGGGUUGCUGGGCUGAUACUGACGCUGAGGUGCGAAAGCGUGGGGAGCAAACAGG
rnacentral:rRNA from 1 species